rnacentral:misc_RNA from 1 species
GAUGAAGAACGCAGCAAAAUGCGAUAAGUAAUGUGAAUUGCAGAAUUCAGUGAAUCAUCGAAUCUUUGAACGCACAUUGCGCCCGCCAGUAUUCUGGCGGGCAUACCUGUUCGAGCGUCAUCUCAACCCUCAAGCUCAGCUUGGUGUUGGGACUCGCGGUAACCCGCGUUCCCCAAAUCGAUUGGCGGUCACGUCGAGCUUCCAUAGCGUAGUAAUCAUACACCUCGUUACUGGUAAUCGUCGCGGCCACGCCGUAAAACCCCAACUUCUGAAUGUUGACCUCGGAUCAGGUAGGAAUACCCGCUGAACUUAAGCAUAUCAAUAAGCGGAGGA